CGGCUGCGGGCUGUGGGCGGGGGGCGGCCCGGGGGUGGGGAGAAGGAGCGCUGCCCCCAAAGGGACCGCCCGGGAACCGACGGGCAGCGAGCUGGGGCUGGAGCUGGCACCGCUUUAUGGAAAUAAAAAGCAUCGCGUUUAACGACUAACGCUUCUUUGUGGAUUUGUCGUUACUAACAGUGCUUUGGCAGCAAGCGUUUCUGUCGCAGGCCGCGGAAACGUAAAUUAAGUAUUUUCGCACGCAAGAAUUAAGAGUUGAGUGACAUGUGCAAUGGCCAAUUCUUUAAGAGGUGAAGUACUGAAUCUUUAUAAAAAUCUGUUGUACCUUGGAAGGGAGUAUCCCAAAGGAGCAGACUACUUUAGAAGCCGUUUGAAAGCAGCUUUUCUAAAAAACAAAGACGUGAAAGAUCCUGAAAAAAUUAAGCAGCUAAUUGCACGAGGAGAAUUUGUUAUCAAAGAGUUGGAGGCUUUGUACUUCCUCAGAAAAUACAGAGCUAUGAAAAAGCGCUACUACAGCGAAGACAAAGAAUGACUGCUACGAAGGACCCUCCCCUCCCUGUAACAAUACAAAGCCAUAAACAGUCAAUAAAAGAAAUGAAACCUCAAAAGAAAUGAACAACAAAUCCUUCCACCUCAUUUAGAAUACAAAUUGGGACUUCACUUACCCUUAAGGAGGUGACAGAAAGAUUUGGGGUAUGUAUUAUGUGGGCAUCGAUUUUUUCUCAACUUCUUUUGGCCUCCUUGAACUAUAAAUUCGUGCAUGAGAAUAAUUCUGCAGGCAGCAGUGGCGAUAUGGUUGUUUCACUGUAUGCGUGCUGAGCAGAUGGCUGCCUCUACACUGGAUUGGCUGUACGUUGCAGGGCUGAUCUGAGGUGCUACACAUCUCUUGUCACUUAGAAGAAGAAUCUGGGUUUGAAAAUCUUCCACAUUUAAGGAAUAAUUUUCACCACAACUGGGCACCUUCUAAAAAGGAAAGUAAGUUUUUAAGGAUUUUGGCUGUAUCCGCAUAAUGUGCAAUACUCACAUCAACAGACUGACGUCUUACCGUGAUGCAAAGAACAUCAGUGGGUCAGGAAGGGGAUGGAUUGGAACAAUAAUGGUUUUAGUACUCAGACUCUAAAGACAAUUCCUGCAGCUAAUGAUUUUGAUGCUGCACAACUGCCUUAGCAGGAGUCUAGAACUCGAUCCUCUCCCCUGGAGGAGAUUUACGCUGGCUGUUUGCUCCAUGGAUAACUCUUUGUGAACUUUGGCUCAACAGGCAGACUUUCACCUUAGCCAUUCCUCUCUACGUGCUCUGCUGGUUUGCUGCUUUUUUUUUUCGAUAGAAUUAAAUGACACUGGAGAUAGAACAGAAAAAAAAUCUUUGAAAUACAGGACACAAUCGGUGCUAAGGAAAUGCCUUUAUUUUCUCUGAGUUCACAAAAGGCAUACGAUAGAGGCGAACAUGCACAGCUGGGAAUGAGUACAGGAUGACUAGUCUGGCCCUUUCAGACUUGCAGACGGAUUCAAAUCGCUUUUGCUGUUGAGUAAGGAAAACCAGGCCUCCGUGCCUGGCUGGGAGCGGCAGCCCUUGGAUUCAGGGAGGAGAGGUCAACGCACCAGGAACCGAGACACAAAUACCUGAGGCCGGGCCCUGCUCAGAGUGCAGAGCCAGCAUGGCCCACCAGACGGAUCAGCGCUACCACGCGCUGUGCUGGGCCAGUGCCGCUUAUGGCAGGCAAGGAGAAGUACAGGAAAUAAGCUGCGAACAACUGCCAGACACACGUGCACUUCAUGGGCUACUCCACUGCAGAGACGAGGCGCUGAAAUUCUUGGAGAGAAAAGCAAACAGGGACAGAAGUUCACAAUAACUAUUUUUUAUUACAUUACAAUAAAUAGGAGCAGUACAGUUUGACAAAAAAAAAAAAAAAAAAAAAAA